rnacentral:lncRNA from 1 species
UGAGACUUCACAAAACUCAGAACACACUUCCCUUAGGGCUUGGAAUUCAAAGGACUAAUUGCUUGAACUGGAUAGGGUAUGGGGUCCUGCUUCCAACAGGGGCACAGGUAUGGCUUUGUAGCCACCCAGGUCGUGAAAUUGGAAUAAACUGAGAAGGCUUUAACUUAGUCUGACCAGGGACAUGGGCUCGGGGUUGGUUUUCCUGGGUUAGAAGGGGUUUCUGAGAUUUGUCUGAACACAGGCCUCUAUGUGGCUGUUACCCAGUAUGCUUUCCCUUGCAGAUACCUCAGGAUGAGUGUGCAGAAUCCGUCACCUCUGUAUGAGCUGGCCAAGCAGAGCCUGCUGAAGAGUGCGACCAUAGCCAGCGCUGCUCUGCAUGAUCUGCCCAUCCUGAUCUUCCAUGACUUAUUCAUGGACGCCUUCAUGGGGGAACACAAUGAGGUCCUGAAGAUGAUGGUGCAGACCUGGCCAUUCCCCUAUCUACCUUUGAGGACCCUAAUGGAAUUGAGAAAACACAAGAUGCCGCGCACUCAGUCUGGAGAAAUCACACUGCAACAGAGAGACCUACAGACAUUACAAGCCAUACUGGAUGGAAUUGAUAUACAGCUGUCCCAGAAGACUCCGCACAGGUGGAAACUGCAGGCGCUGGACUGGAGGAAUGUGAACCAGGACUUCUGGACUGUAGGCCCCAGAGCUGUAAGUGCCGCCCCCUUCGGCAAUGGCGGAAAUAAGGAAAUCAGCAAUCCUGGGUUAAGUGAGAAGAACCCAACCUUGAGAAUAUUCGCAAACAUUUGCUUUGAAGCCUGGAGUCCGCUUUGUGCCACCGAUGAUCAAUUACAGCUCUGCCUCUUGAAGUGGGCCAGGAGGAGAAAGGCUUCAGUGCACCUGCACUGUGAGAAUGUGAUGAUCCUGUCCAGUGCUGUCUUUAAGAUCCUGAAGCUUCUGCGCGCUGUGCGACUGGAUUCUGUCCACGAGCUGGAGGUGAUUAGUCACUGGUGUCCAGAAGGCAUGAAAGCAUUUGCUCCUCAGCUAAGGAAGAUGGAAAACCUUCACACAUUUCACUUCAGAAGUCUGAGUUCAGAAGCGUUUACAUCAACCAGGGAAAACAAGUGGUAUUCCCGCAUCUGCACUUCUCACUUAGGGCAGCUGAAAAAUCUCCGGGAGCUUCAGAUGGAUGAAGUCUCCUUCCUGGAGGGAAAUC